rnacentral:rRNA from 2 species
GGGACACGUGGUAUCCUGUCUGAAUAUGGGGGGACCAUCCUCCAAGGCUAAAUACUCCUGACUGACCGAUAGUGAACCAGUACCGUGAGGGAAAGGCGAAAAGAACCCCGGCGAGGGGAGUGAAAAAGAACCUGAAACCGUGUACGUACAAGCAGUGGGAGCACAGGUUUACCUGUGUGACUGCGUACCUUUUGUAUAAUGGGUCAGCGACUUAUAUUCUGUAGCAAGGUUAACCGUAUAGGGGAGCCGGAGGGAAACCGAGUCUUAAUUGGGCGUUAAGUUGCAGGGUAUAGACCCGAAACCCGGUGAUCUAGCCAUGGGCAGGUUGAAGGUUGGGUAACACUAACUGGAGGACCGAACCGACUAAUGUUGAAAAAUUAGCGGAUGACCUGUGGCUGGGGGUGAAAGGCCAAUCAAACCGGGAGAUAGCUGGUUCUCCCCGAAAGCUAUUUAGGUAGCGCCUCGUGAAUUCAUCUCCGGGGGUAGAGCACUGUUUCGGCUAGGGGGCCAUCCCGGCUUACCAACCCGAUGCAAACUGCGAAUACCGGAGAAUGUUAUCACGGGAGACACACGGCGGGUGCUAACGUCCGUCGUGAAGAGGGAAACAACCCAGACCGCCAGCUAAGGUCCCAAAGUCAUGGUUAAGUGGGAAACGAUGUGGGAAGGCCCAGACAGCCAGGAUGUUGGCUUAGAAGCAGCCAUCAUUUAAAGAAAGCGUAAUAGCUCACUGGUCGAGUCGGCCUGCGCGGAAGAUGUAACGGGGCUAAACCAUG